rnacentral:rRNA from 1 species
GAUGAACGCUGGCGGCGUGCUUAACACAUGCAAGUCGAACGAUGAUCCGGUGCUUGCACCGGGGAUUAGUGGCGAACGGGUGAGUAACACGUGAGUAACCUGCCCUUAACUCUGGGAUAAGCCUGGGGAAACUGGGUCUAAUACCGGAUAUGACUCCUCAUCGCAUGGUGGGGGGUGGAAAGCUUUUUGUGGUUUUGGAUGGACUCGCGGCCUAUCAGCUUGUUGGUGAGGAAUGGCUCACCAAGGCGACGACGGGUAGCCGGCCUGAGAGGGUGACCGGCCACACUGGGACUGAGACACGGCCCAGACUCCUACGGGAGGCAGCAGUGGGGAAUAUUGCACAAUGGGCGCAAGCCUGAUGCAGCGACGCCGCGUGAGGGAUGACGG